rnacentral:lncRNA from 1 species
GAGGGAAGGACUCCAGAAGCCCAAAUAGUUUCUCUAUGUUUUGUGUCUGUGCUAUUUGGUUCCCCUAAUGUAGCAGCACAAAUGCUAUGUAUUCAGGUGAAGCUUACUUCAAAGAAGGAAGAAAGAAGAAGAAAAGAAGAUGUAUAAUUUUUGGCAGCCGUAUGACUGCAGCAGUAAAUCUUCCAUCCACUGACAAGAGACUUAAGAAGGAAAGAAAGAAGAAGGAAAGAAAGAAAAGCUGUGAUUUUCCUGAUAUCUGCUCAUUGCUAGGACUCUGGCUCCAAAAUUGCAAGUACCAGAAAACAGGCAAAAUCAAUGACUCAGUGACACUGCAACCUCCCCAACUUUUUUCCCAGCAGCUCGACUUUAGUGUAAGCAAUGACAAGAGCUACCCUUACAAAACUGACCUGAGGCUAAGUCUGCACUGAAAACCUCUAUCUGUGGAAACACAUUGGUUUAAGCAGUGACACUUUUAUUCCUGUUUUUUAUUCCUGGUAAAUCCCCAGAGCAGGAUUAGCUGUACUAGCAAAAGCUCAUGCAAAGGAGUGAUGGGAAGCAAGUUAACAGGCAGCAGCCUCCAUACACAGGGAGUGCCUGGGGCAGCCCCAACUCACCCUCAGUGCCCUCUCCUCCUCCUCGUCUUCCUCCCACAAAGCUGAGGAGGAGGCACUUAGCACGCUGCCUACAAGCUGUGCCUGUGUUGGAGGAUUCUGUAGCUGUGACAGCUCAGCUCUCCUGCCACAAAGACGUCCUUCAUCACCCUGGCAUGUAAAAGCCUCUUUUACAGCAACAUUGCAGUAUUCCAACGACAUCAGUUUACCAGAAAUAAGAAACUGCAGUAAAUAGUACUGAUUACAAGUAUUUCAAGGCAAUUUACUGCAACUGCUAUACCAAUUUUUCUUCUUGUGAGACCUCUAACAAUGAAAAUACUCAUCAGGUGGAAAGAUGCAAUUAUACUGCAGGCAGAAGGGCUCCGUGUACCUGAGUCAUUGCUUGUGCAUUAAAGAUCAAAGAAUGCAGUAACUACACGAGAAGCCACUUCCCAGUGUCAUCAUCCUUGGCUGCACAGUAGAUAUCAUAGCUCAAACUUAUAAAUAAGUUACAUGAAUGCUGAGAGAGGAAUCCAUGACCCAUGAAUGUUGAGAAGUGGCUUCUUGGUUCCCGAUAGGGAAGAAAAACAGGUAAUUAAUUAAGGUAACUAGUAGCUUUAUUUCGAGAUUUCCUAGUAGCUCUAGGGACACCCAGGGCUGUCAGUGAAUUGGAAGAAAAUCAAUAACUAAUUGAGAAAUAAACAUUUGCUGUUCCAGGUCA